rnacentral:lncRNA from 1 species
GUUCAGUGGACCGUGACAUUGGGGUAAAAACUCUAAUUUGGCAUUAAAAUUAAAAAGAUCAUAUCAUAGGGAACAUGUGUACCAAGUUUGAAGUCGAUUGGACUUCAACUUCAUCAAAAACUACCUUGACCAAAAACUUUAACCUGAAGAGGGACAGACGGACGGACGAACGGACGAACGGACGAACAGACGAACGGACGCACAGACCAGAAAACAUAAUGCCCCCUACUAUCGUAGGUGGGGCAUAAAAAUGCACAGCUGUGUCAUGAUUUGUGAAAUCUGUGCUGAAAACAUAGGCAUUUAUGGUGUUUGAGUAAUUCCAUCUGUGAAGCUCAACAUUAGCUCGUCAGUUGGUGGUGGACAGUUAUAAAUCUUUC